rnacentral:rRNA from 1 species
ACGCUCGACACCUACAGGAGGCAGCAGGUGGGGAAUAUUGCACAAUGGGGGAAACCCUGAUGCAGCGACGCCGCGUGGAGGAAGAAGGUCUUCGGAUUGUAAACUCCUGUUGUUGGGGAAAAAGAGGAUGGUACCCAACAAGGAAGUGACGGCUAACUACGUGCCAGUAGCCGUGGUAAUCUGAGCGGGCUGGCAAGGC